rnacentral:rRNA from 1 species
CUUCUCCGCCGGCGACCGGCGCACGGGUGAGUAACACGUAUGCAACCUGCCCCUGUCAGGGGACAACCCGCCGAAAGGCGGGCUAAACCCGCGUACAUGCCACCGGGGCAUCCCGGAGGCAGGAAAGGCUUCGGCCGGACAGGGAUGGGCAUGCGGCGCAUUAGGCAGUAGGCGGGGUAACGGCCCACCUAACCGACGAUGCGUAGGGGUUCUGAGAGGAAGGUCCCCCACACUGGUACUGAGACACGGACCAGACUCCUACGGGAGGCAGCAG